rnacentral:rRNA from 1 species
UACGUAGGUGGCAAGCGUUGUCCGGAUUACUGGGCGUAAAGAGCGCGCAGGCGGUCGAAUAAGUCGAAUGUGAAAGCCCCCCGGCUCAACUGGGGAGGGUCAUUCGAUACUGCUCGACUUGAAGGCAGGAGAGGGUAGUGGAAUUCCCGGUGUAGUGGUGAAAUGCGUAGAUAUCGGGAGGAACACCAGUGGCGAAGGCGACUACCUGGCCUGUUCUUGACGCUGAGGCAGCGAA